rnacentral:rRNA from 1 species
GAUAACCGAGGGAAACCUCGGCUAAUACCGCAUACGACCUGAGGGUGAAAGAUUUAUCGCUCUAGGAGGGGCCCGCGUCGGAUUAGCUAGUUGGUGAGGUAACGGCCCACCAAGGCGAUGAUCCGUAGCUGGUCUGAGAGGAUGAUCAGCCACACUGGGACUGAGACACGGCCCAGACUC